CCAGUAGUGUAUGCUUCUCCUAAAGACUAAGCCAUGCAUGCCUCCGAAUAAGAAGAAGUAAUUCUCUCUGAAUCUGCGAACGGCUCCGCACACCAGUUGUAAGCUACAGCAAGGAUGCCCGUCGAAACCGGCGCGAGCUGGGAGUAAGCGGGUGACAGGGAUAACCCUGGUAAUUCUGAGGCUAAUACCUGCAAGUACGCCCUGGCAGCACUCCGAGGCUGCCGGGGACCGUGCGAGCAUUUGAGCGGCGGGAAACUGCCGGGAAAGGACGCACAGUCAAACCGCAACAAAAAAGGGAAGUGCCGAGCCGCCCUGCCCCCGGGCGGGGGGCGAAGCAGUUCCUUGCGGGUCUUGCGAUGCGCUUCUGACCUAUCAACUGUAUAGCAGUGUAAAAGACGUGCUAUGGUCACAACGGGUACAGAGGAUUAGGGUUCGAUCCUGGAGAGUGGGCCUGAGAGAUUGCUCACACUUCUAAGGAAGGCAGCAGGCGCGUAACGUUCCCAUUGGGCGAUGCCCGAGGGCGUUAGGGGACAUAUGAAUGCCCGCCAAUUGGUGGGCAAUUCAAAUGG
rnacentral:rRNA from 1 species